UACGGAGGGUGCGAGCGUUAACCGGAAUUACUGGGCGUAAAGCGCUCGUAGGUGGUUCGGUAAGUCGGAUGUGAAAGCCCUGGGCUUAACCUGGGAGCUGCAUUCGAUACGGCCCGACUAGAGUAUGGGAGAGGGAAGCGGAAUUUCCGGUGUAGCGGUGAAAUGCGUAGAUAUCGGAAGGAACACCAAUGGCGAAGGCAGCUUCCUGGCCCAAUACUGACACUCAGGUGCGAAAGCGUGGGGAUCAAACAGG
rnacentral:rRNA from 1 species